GAUCCACACCCGACACCUUUUCCUCACGCCGAGUCUUCUUCCCCUGCCGAUUUCUCAUCUGCCCUAACCGCACACGAGCGAUUUCUACUCCCCUUUUUCCUUCUUCUUCCCGCAGUUGAGCCCGACGCCACUUCCUUACCUCUGUCUCCACACCCUUUACCCCAGAGCUGUGAGCCACCACCGCCGCUCCUCCCCGCUGCACACCGCGAGCUCGACUCCUUUGUGCCCUAGAAUCUCCGUCGCCUCCUCCCGAUUUCCUUUCCCCCUCCUCUUGUCCGACGAGCCAGCGCCGACCAUUGCUGGAGGUUACUUGCUUCCUGUUCCCGAGCCGCCAGCCACCGAGCGCCCCCCAAUUUCCGCCACCGUGCCCUAGCUAGUAGUCGGUGUCGCACGGAGCAGCGCCACCCCUCACCGUGCCGCCAUAAUGAACCCUGGGCUGAUUUCUACAGCCAACACCCUCUCCACAGUCCUCUGCCAUUGUUGACCUAGGGUUCCGGCGGCCAGUAUUGAGAUUAGGCAACGAGGUGUUUUCCAUAUCAGAGCUUGGAUCUUCUCCUCUGUUCUUGAUCAUUUCCUUCCUUGCGGUGGAUUUAGGUCACGGUUGAGCAAAGCUUUAAACUCCAGUAGUAAAGCUUUAAUCAGUAGCUGCUCAUACUCGGUCAAGCGACAAUGAUCCUUGCUAUUGAGCCACAACGACUGGGGUUGAGGACUUUGACGCGAGACGAGUAUCUCGACGUCAGACUUGGACCAGAUUGGAUCCUUUCUUA